GGCCGGUUGGCCCAAUGGCAAGGCGUCUGACUACGAUUGCCCUCUCAAAACCCCCUUCUCCACUAACAACGAGAAACGGGUCUCGAGGCAUCAUCAGUUAUCAGGAGAUUCUGGGUUCGACCCCCAGGCUGGUCA
rnacentral:tRNA from 1 species